rnacentral:rRNA from 1 species
CAUGCAAGUCGCACGAGGGUUUUUAACUCUAGUGGCGGACGGGUGAGUAACACGUGAGAAUCUGCCCUUAGGAGGAGGAUAACAGCUGGAAACGGUUGCUAAUACUCCAUAUGCUGAAAAGUGAAAGGAUUUAUCUGCCUAAGGAGGAGCUCGCGUCUGAUUAGCUAGUUGGUGGGGUAACGGCCUACCAAGGCAACGAUCAGUAGCUGGUUUGAGAGGACGAUCAGCCACACUGGGACUGAGACACGGCCCAGACUCCUACGGGGGGCAGCAGUGGGGAAUUUUCCGCAAUGGGCGAAAGCCUGACGGAGCAAUACCGCGUGAGGGAUGACGGCCUGUGGGUUGUAAACCUCUUUUCUCAAGGAAGAAGUUCUGACGGUACUUGAGGAAUAAGCAUCGGCUAACUCUGUGCCAGCAGCCGCGGUAAUACAGAGGAUGCAAGCGUUAUCCGGAAUCACUGGGCAUAAAGCGUCUGUAGGUUGUUUAGUAAGUCUGCUGUUAAAGACUAGGGCUUAACCCUAGGCCAGCAGUGGAAACUGCUAGACUUGAGUAUGGUAGAGGUAGAGGGAAUUCCUAGUGUAGCGGUGAAAUGCGUAGAUAUUAGGAAGAACACCAAUGGCGAAAGCACUCUACUGGGCCAUAACUGACACUGAGAGACGACAGCUAGGGGAGCAAAUGGGAUUAGAUACCCCAGUAGUCCUAGCCGUAAACGAUGGAUACUAGGUGUUGCACGUAUUAACCCGUGCAGUAUCGUAGCUAAGGCGUUAAGUAUCCCGCCUGGGAAGUACGCUCGCAAGAGUGAAACUCAAAUGAAUUGACGG